CUUCGGAAACUUGAGAGCGGCGCACGGGUGCGGAACACGUGUGCAACCUGCCUUUAUCUGGGGGAUAGCCUUUCGAAAGGAAGAUUAAUACCCCAUAAUAUACUGAAUGGCAUCAUUCGGUAUUGAAAACUCCGGUGGAUAGAGAUGGGCACGCGCAAGAUUAGAUAGUUGGUGAGGUAACGGCUCACCAAGUCUGCGAUCUUUAGGGGGCCUGAGAGGGUGAUCCCCCACACUGGUACUGAGACACGGACCAGACUCCUACGGGAGGCAGCAGUGAGGAAUAUUGGACAAUGGGUGAGAGCCUGAUCCAGCCAUCCCGCGUGAAGGACGACGGCCCUAUGGGUUGUAAACUUCUUUUGUAUAGGGAUAAACCUACUCUCGUGAGAGUAGCUGAAGGUACUAUACGAAUAAGCACCGGCUAACUCCGUGCCAGCAGCCGCGGUAAUACGGAGGGUGCAAGCGUUAUCCGGAUUUAUUGGGUUUAAAGGGUCCGUAGGCGGAUCUGUAAGUCAGUGGUGAAAUCUCACAGCUUAACUGUGAAACUGCCAUUGAUACUGCAGGUCUUGAGUGUUAUUGAAGUAGCUGGAAUAAGUAGUGUAGCGGUGAAAUGCAUAGAUAUUACUUAGAACACCAAUUGCGAAGGCAGGUUACUAAGCAACAACUGACGCUGAUGGACGAAAGCGUGGGGAGCGAACAGGAUUAGAUACCCUGGUAGUCCACGCCGUAACGAUGCUAACUCGUUUUUGGGUUUUCGGAUUCAGAGACUAAGCGAAAGUGAUAAGUUAGCCACCUGGGGAGUACGAACGCAAGUUUGAAACUCAAAGGAAUUGACGGGGGCCCGCACAAGCGGUGGAUUAUGUGGUUUAAUUCGAUGAUACGCGAGGAACCUUACCAAGGCUUAAAUGGGAAAUGACAGGUUUAGAAAUAGACUUUUCUUCGGACAUUUUUCAUGGUGCUGUCAGGUUGUCGUCAGCUCGUGCCGUGAGGUGUUAGGUUAAGUCCUGCAACGAGCGCAACCCCUGUCACUAGUUGCCAUCAUUAAGUUGGGGACUGUAGUGAGACUGCCUACGCAAGUAGAGAGGAAGGUGGGGAUGACGUCAAAUCAUCACGGCCCUUACGCCUUGGGCCACACACGUAAUACAAUGGCCGGUACAGAGGGCAGCUACACAGCGAUGUGAUGCAAAUCUCGAAAGCCGGUCUCAGUUCGGAUUGGAGUCUGCAACUCGACUCUAUGAAGCUGGAAUCGCUAGUAAUCGCGCAUCAGCCAUGGCGCGGUGAAUACGUUCCCGGGCCUUGUACACACCGCCCGUCAAGCCAUGGAAGUCUGGGGUACCUGAAGUCGGUGACCCA
rnacentral:rRNA from 1 species